UGGGGAAUAUUGCACAAUGGGCGGGAGCCUGAACCAGCCAAGUAGCGUGAAGGAUGAAGGUUCUAUGGAUUGUAAACUUCUUUUACAGGGGAGAAUAAAUUCUACGUGUAGGAUGAUGACAGUACCUUACGAAUAAGCAUCGGCUAACUCCGUGCCAGCAGCCGCGGUAAUACGGAGGAUGCGAGCGUUAUCCGGAUUUAUUGGGUUUAAAGGGAGCGUAGACGGUACUGCAAGUCUGGAGUGAAAUGCGGGGGCUCAACCCCCGAACUGCUUUGGAAACUGUGAUACUGGAGUGCAGGAGAGGUAAGCGGAAUUCCUAGUGUAGCGGUGAAAUGCGUAGAUAUUAGGAGGAACACCGGUGGCGAAGGCGGCUUACUGGACUGUAACUGACGCUGAUGCUCGAAAGUGUGGGUAUCAAACA
rnacentral:rRNA from 1 species